CGAUUGUAUGGAGUAAGUGACGGAGACAGCCCUUUUAACACGAUUUUUUGUAUUGAAUAAAGCAUAACUUCAUUCAAAAAUUUAUGUGAAAAUAAACUAUGUUCUUUAAAGAAUCUAUUUAUGUAGUUUUGGUGACAAUCCAUUUAUUU